rnacentral:tRNA from 1 species
ACUUUUAAAGUAUAAUAAUCAUCCAUUAGUCUUAGGAACCAAAAAUCUUGGUGCAAUUCCAAAUAAAAGUA